GACGAACGCUGGCGGCGUGCUUAACACAUGCAAGUCGAACGGAAAGGCCCUGCUUUUGUGGGGUGCUCGAUUGGCGAACGGGUGAGUAACACGUGAGUAACCUGCCCUUGACUUUGGGAUAACUUCAGGAAACUGGGGCUAAUACCGGAUAGGAUCUCCUGCUGCAUGGUGGGGUUUGUAAAUUUUCGGCGGUUGGGGAUGGUCUCGAGGCUUAUCAGCUUGUUGGUGGGGUAGUGGCUUACCAAGGGUUUGACGGGUAGCCGGCCUGAGAGGGUGACCGGCGACAUUGGGACUGAGAUACGGCCCAGACUCCAACGGGAGGCAGCAGUGGGGAAUAUUGCACAAGGGGCGGAAGCCUGAUGCAGCAACGCAGCGGGCGGGAUGACGGCCUUCGGGUUGUAAACCGCUUUCGCCUGUGACGAAGCGUGAGUGACGGUAAUGGGUAAAGAAGCACCGGCUAACUACGUG
rnacentral:rRNA from 1 species